rnacentral:rRNA from 1 species
CCUACGGGAGGCAGCAGUGGGGAAUUUUGGACAAUGGGCGAAAGCCUGAUCCAGCAAUGCCGCGUGCAGGAUGAAGGCCUUCGGGUUGUAAACUGCUUUUGUACGGAACGAAAAAGCUCCUUCUAAUACAGGGGGCCCAUGACGGUACCGUAAGAAUAAGCACCGGCUAACUACGUGCCAGCAGCCGCGGUAAUACGUAGGGUGCGAGCGUUAAUCGGAAUUACUGGGCGUAAAGCGUGCGCAGGCGGUUA